GGGAGAGUGAUUUAGCAGGAAAGUGAUCUGGAGUCAUUAUCCCACCAUGGAAGCUGGUGGACACAAGUUCCCUGGCUUUUGGUGCGGGGUAAAAAGUUGAAGGUAGUGUGUUUCCAGUUGAAACAGCGCUUGAUGAAAUUUUGACCUGUCUUCCAAAGACAAAAUAUUCUCAGGAAACGUUUAGUAUGGCAUUCAGCUAGACUUUCACACCUGACUUGACUGGCUUUAACUUGCACCGUGUUACUUAAGACAAAUUUGAGAGCAUUAAAAAACUCUUUAAGGAUUCACAGCUCUGGGUUUCCAGUUUGCUGAAGAUCUGCCGCUGUCAGUAAAAAUUAUUGUUAAGUGACAUCAUGUAUGAUAUCAAAGAAAGAAAGAAACAAAAAGCACAAAUUUGCAUAUUUUUCUUAACCAUGACUCCCAUGAACUCAGAGAAGGAAUAGUAUUAAAACUGGAAAUGUUACUAUUGCCACAAUGGCAUAUUAAUUUGGAGGCCUCUUCGUAAUCAAAUAAAAGUGACAUGCUUUGUACAA